rnacentral:rRNA from 1 species
GAACGGUGAAGCCAAGCUUGCUUGGUGGAUCAGUGGCGAACGGGUGAGUAACACGUGAGCAACCUGCCCUGGACUCUGGGAUAAGCGCUGGAAACGGCGUCUAAUACUGGAUAUGAGCUCUCAUCGCAUGGUGGGGGUUGGAAAGAUUUUUCGGUCUGGGAUGGGCUCGCGGCCUAUCAGCUUGUUGGUGAGGUAAUGGCUCACCAAGGCGUCGACGGGUAGCCGGCCUGAGAGGGUGACCGGCCACACUGGGACUGAGACACGGCCCAGACUCCUACGGGAGGCAGCAGUGGGGAAUAUUGCACAAUGGGCGGAAGCCUGAUGCAGCAACGCCGCGUGAGGGAUGACGGCCUUCGGGUUGUAAACCUCUUUUAGCAGGGAAGAAGCGAGAGUGACGGUACCUGCAGAAAAAGCGCCGGCUAACUACGUGCCAGCAGCCGCGGUAAUACGUAGGGCGCAAGCGUUAUCCGGAAUUAUUGGGCGUAAAGAGCUCGUAGGCGGUUUGUCGCGUCUGCUGUGAAAUCCCGAGGCUCAACCUCGGGCCUGCAGUGGGUACGGGCAGACUAGAGUGCGGUAGGGGAGAUUGGAAUUCCUGGUGUAGCGGUGGAAUGCGCAGAUAUCAGGAGGAACACCGAUGGCGAAGGCAGAUCUCUGGGCCGUAACUGACGCUGAGGAGCGAAAGGGUGGGGAGCAAACAGGCUUAGAUACCCUGGUAGUCCACCCCGUAAACGUUGGGAACUAGUUGUGGGGACCAUUCCACGGUUUCCGUGACGCAGCUAACGCAUUAAGUUCCCCGCCUGGGGAGUACGGCCGCAAGGCUAAAACUCAAAGGAAUUGACGGGGACCCGCACAAGCGGCGGAGCAUGCGGAUUAAUUCGAUGCAACGCGAAGAACCUUACCAAGGCUUGACAUAUACGAGAACGGGCCAGAAAUGGUCAACUCUUUGGACACUCGUAAACAGGUGGUGCAUGGUUGUCGUCAGCUCGUGUCGUGAGAUGUUGGGUUAAGUCCCGCAACGAGCGCAACCCUCGUUCUAUGUUGCCAGCACGUAAUGGUGGGAACUCAUGGGAUACUGCCGGGGUCAACUCGGAGGAAGGUGGGGAUGACGUCAAAUCAUCAUGCCCCUUAUGUCUUGGGCUUCACGCAUGCUACAAUGGCCGGUACAAAGGGCUGCAAUACCGUGAGGUGGAGCGAAUCCCAAAAAGCCGGUCCCAGUUCGGAUUGAGGUCUGCAACUCGACCUCAUGAAGUCGGAGUCGCUAGUAAUCGCAGAUCAGCAACGCUGCGGUGAAUACGUUCCCGGGUCUUGUACACACCGCCCGUCAAGUCAUGAAAGUCGGUAACACCUGAAGCCGGUGGCCCAACCCUUGUGGAGGGA